rnacentral:misc_RNA from 1 species
CGGAGGAGGCAGACGUGCUGCUCCAGGUGUUAAAUAAACUCACCCUAGGAACUGACAGUUGGGAUUGAUUUUCGCGUUGAAUACUACGAAGAUGUCCAAAAUAAGCGAGGGCAGCGGCGGGUGGGGCACAGUGAGUGAAAAUACACUUUCGGAGAAAUUCCCUCUCCACCGCGCGUGUAGGGAUGGCGAUGCGGACUUCCUUCGCUCACUCCUACGGCAAGAGGCGGCUCGCUCCCACAUCGCCGUCGAGGACACUUACUACGGAUGGACUCCGAGUCAUUGGGCGGCUUACUUUGGCAAGCUGGAGUGCCUGCGCCUGCUGAUCUGCGGCACGGGCAACGGAAUAGCAGCCAACCCCGGCCAGAAGACCUCGCGCUUCUCGCAAACGCCCAUCCACAUCGCCGCCUUCGCCGGCCAUCCGCACUGUCUGCAGUGGCUGAUUCAGGCGGGAGCAGAUCCCAACGCGCAAGACUACCUGGGUGAGACAUCCCUUCACAAGGCUGCUCGAACUGGGUCUGUGGAGUGUGUAAAUCUCCUUGCAAUGAACAAAGCUACUUUAGGGAUCUGUAACAACAAUGGUCAGACAGCUGUCCAACUGGCCAGCGCUUGUGGUUUCACUGAUCUAGCGAAUCAUCUGCAGCAGUUACAAGGCAAGCAAGAUGGAAUGGCAGGAGCAAGUGGUAUAACGAGGAGCAUCCCAGCACAUGGACUCAAUGGUGGGGUCUUCCCUCCUUGCUCAAACUCUGCUCUCUUUACAAAUACACUCUUGUCCCAGUCCACUAAUGGCCAAGAAGCACCUGUCAAAAAUAGUGUCCAGUCCAAUGGUCACAUUCUUCCUAAUGGUUUCCAUUCGUCUCCAAUAAUUGCUAAUGCUAAUGGUCAAUCACCAAAUCAAGCAAAUAAUGGUGUCUGCACCUCUUCCAAUGGAUAUUAUGGGUUUCAGUCAACAAGUGCUGAAGCUAAUGGAGGCAGUGAAGAAUGCGACAUGGAAACGGAUGCAUCUCCUGUAAGCAUUAGUCAGAAUGGAUCAACCAAUGAACAGAAGAUUGGAGUAGCAACAGGAUUUGUAAAUGGACAAGGAAGAACCCCAAAUGGUCAGGCAGACAAGAUCACAUUAGAGUUUACAAAUGGGGAUGUGAUUGGCACAGUUCUUGGGUUUACCAAUGGACACUCACUAGGAAAUGCCUCUAGAAUGGCCAGUGGAACAAAUGGAACAUGUCCAAAUGGCUUGGAUGGUAACACUCUCAAAAGCCAUAAUGACUUGGGACAAGACAUCACCUUGAACCAUGGGAUUUCUCAGAAUCACAUCCCAGUUGCUGGCUGUAAGAGGUCCCGGGAGGAGGGUUUUAUCCCCGAGAUCAAGAGGAUGAAGACUGAGGGGCCUCAGUUACUCCCUCUUACCAGCAACUUCACCAGAUUGCAAGCUUUAUCCUCGACCCAACAACCCAGAGUACCAUUUUGUGAUAUAACAAACUCUCCUAGUAACCCUUUUGGGGAAGGUGGGCAUGCCAGAGUUCCGAGUUGUGUUAAUACGAAAAGACUGGGAGAGAUUUGUAGUAGUGAUGGCAUCAGCGAUGGGUCAGUAUGGAUGGAAGCAGAGAACACAGAUGGGGAAUGCAAGAGAGGCAUUUUACAGGCUGGUAGUGAAUGUGACAAGACGUCGGAACUUUAUGCCGAAAUGCUCAGGGAAACUCAUGGCUGUGAACCAUACUUGUUUUGUUUCUAAAGACAAGCAUUCUGUAUGUCACUUUAUAGAAGAGGAGGAUGAAGAUUUGUGAAAUGGUUAAGCCCUAGAGAUCCAAUGUGGACUUCAGGCUCAGUGACAUGAUAUCACUGCUCACCGUAAG